AGAGUUUGAUCCUGGCUCAGGACGAACGCUGGCGGCGUGCCUAAUACAUGCAAGUAGAACGCUGAAGAGAGGAGCUUGCUCUUCUUGGAUGAGUUGCGAACGGGUGAGUAACGCGUAGGUAACCUGCCUUGUAGCGGGGGAUAACUAUUGGAAACGAUAGCUAAUACCGCAUAACAAUGGAUGACCCAUGUCAUUUAUUUGAAAGGGGCAAAUGCUCCACUACAAGAUGGACCUGCGUUGUAUUAGCUAGUAGGUGAGGUAACGGCUCACCUAGGCGACGAUACAUAGCCGACCUGAGAGGGUGAUCGGCCACACUGGGACUGAGACACGGCCCAGACUCCUACGGGAGGCAGCAGUAGGGAAUCUUCGGCAAUGGGGGCAACCCUGACCGAGCAACGCCGCGUGAGUGAAGAAGGUUUUCGGAUCGUAAAGCUCUGUUGUAAGUCAAGAACAAGUGUGAGAGUGGAAAGUUCACACUGUGACGGUAGCUUACCAGAAAGGGACGGCUAACUACGUGCCAGCAGCCGCGGUAAUACGUAGGUCCCGAGCGUUGUCCGGAUUUAUUGGGCGUAAAGCGAGCGCAGGCGGUUUGAUAAGUCUGAAGUUAAAGGCUGUGGCUCAACCAUAGUUCGCUUUGGAAACUGUCAAACUUGAGUGCAGAAGGGGAGAGUGGAAUUCCAUGUGUAGCGGUGAAAUGUGUAGAUAUAUGGAGGAACACCGGUGGCGAAAGCGGCUCUCUGGUCUGUAACUGACGCUGAGGCUCGAAAGCGUGGGGAGCGAACAGGAUUAGAUACCCUGGUAGUCCACGCCGUAAACGAUGAGUGCUAGGUGUUGGAUCCUUUCCGGGAUUCAGUGCCGCAGCUAACGCAUUAAGCACUCCGCCUGGGGAGUACGACCGCAAGGUUGAAACUCAAAGGAAUUGACGGGGGCCCGCACAAGCGGUGGAGCAUGUGGUUUAAUUCGAAGCAACGCGAAGAACCUUACCAGGUCUUGACAUCCCGAUGCUAUUUCUAGAGAUAGAAAGUUACUUCGGUACAUCGGUGACAGGUGGUGCAUGGUUGUCGUCAGCUCGUGUCGUGAGAUGUUGGGUUAAGUCCCGCAACGAGCGCAACCCCUAUUGUUAGUUGCCAUCAUUCAGUUGGGCACUCUAGCGAGACUGCCGGUAAUAAACCGGAGGAAGGUGGGGAUGACGUCAAAUCAUCAUGCCCCUUAUGACCUGGGCUACACACGUGCUACAAUGCUUGGUACAACGAGUUGCGAGUCGGUGACGGCAAGCUAAUCUCUUAAAGCCAAUCUCAGUUCGGAUUGUAGGCUGCAACUCGCCUACAUGAAGUCGGAAUCGCUAGUAAUCGCGGAUCAGCACGCCGCGGUGAAUACGUUCCCGGGCCUUGUACACACCGCCCGUCACACCACGAGAGUUUGUAACACCCGAAGUCGGUGAGGUAACCUUUUGGAGCCAGCCGCCUAAGGUGGGAUAGAUGAUUGGGGUGAAGUCGUAACAAGGUA
rnacentral:rRNA from 1 species